rnacentral:tRNA from 1 species
GUGCUUAUAGUUUAAUUGGCUAGAACAUCGCGCUUCGGAUGCGAGAAUCCGGGUUCGAGUCCUGGUAAGCACU